rnacentral:tRNA from 1 species
CGGAUGGUAAUUGGCGGAUUGUAGCCAUUAAAAACACUCCUAAUAAUGGCUAAACCUUUGAAACGUAGCUAGAAAAACCGUCAUGGGGUGUCGGGGGUCGGAGGUUCAAAUCCUCUCGUGCCGACCA